UACGAAGGGGGCUAGCGUUGUUCGGAAUCACUGGGCGUAAAGCGCACGCAGGCGGAUUGAUAAGUCAGGGGUGAAAUCCCGGAGCUCAACUUCGGAAUUGCCUUUGAUACUGAGGAUCUUGAGUUCGGGAGAGGUGAGUGGAACUGCGAGUGUAGAGGUGAAAUUCGUAGAUAUUCGCAAGAACACCAGUGGCGAAGGCGGCUCACUGGCCCGGUACUGACGCUGAGGCGCGAAAGCGUGGGGAGCAAACAGG
rnacentral:rRNA from 1 species